GACGUAGGGCGCGAGCGUUGUCCGGAAUUAUUGGGCGUAAAGAGCUCGUAGGCGGCUUGUUGCGUCUGCCGUGAAAAUUCACAGCUUAACUGUGGACGUGCGGUGGAUACGGGCAGGCUUGAGCUCGGUAGGGGAGACUGGAAUUCCUGGUGUAGCGGUGAAAUGCGCAGAUAUCAGGAGGAACACCGGUGGCGAAGGCGGGUCUCUGGGCCGAUACUGACGCUGAGGAGCGAAAGCGUGGGGAGCGAACAGG
rnacentral:rRNA from 1 species